UUAAAAGCACUCAAUAUGUAUGUAUAAAAAGUUCAUGAUCGAGGAAUAAUUUUCCAGAAAUUUGGCUGAAUUAACAUCAUACUGAGGCAACAAGUAUGUGUAGAAAGUUCAUGAUGAAAGAUUCUUGGGACAGAAAAAACUGUAGGACAUAAAAAUGGACUUCUAUAUGGCUGAUCUGAUAUCAGAAGGCUUCAAUGAGUAUGUAUAAUAAGUUCAAUAUCAAAUACUCUUUUGCCAGUAAUAUGUUUAGUAAGUCUAAUAUGGACUACUGUCUGGAUGAAAUAAAAUCAAAGGGUUCAAUGAGUAUGUAUAGAAAGUUCAUGAUCGAGGACUAAUAUCCUUAGAAAUAUGUAAGUACUGGUCAAAUAUGCAAAACUCUAUGGCUGAAGCAAGAUGAGAGUGAGGCAUGUAUAUAAAGUUCAUUGCCAAGUACUCUUUGGCAAGAAAUUUGUUCAGUAGGUCAAAUAUGGACUACUGUCUGGCUGAAAUAAUAUCAGAUAAAGUCAAUGAUUGUGUAUAGAAAGUUCAUGAUCAAGGAGUAAUUUGCCAGAAAUAUUUUCAGUUGGUCAAACAUGGGCUCAUGUAUGGCUGAAGUAACAUCAGAGUGAGGCAAAGAGGAACAGUAUAAAAAAACUUGAGAUCGAGGACUCUGAGGACAUUUUUUUUUUUUUUUUUUAAGUAGGUCCAAUAUCAAUUUCUGUAUGGCUGAAAUAAAAUCAGUAGUCCGUGAGAUUGUAUAGAAAGUUCAAGAUCCAGUACACUUGGGCCAGAAAUAUGUUCAGUAGGUCAAAUAAAGACUUCUAUAUGACUGAAGUGACAUCAGAAGGCGUCAUUGAGUAAAUAAAAAAACUUCAGUGUUGAAUAAUCUUUUGGCCAGAAGUAUGUUCAGUCGGUCAAAUAUGGACUACUGUUUGGCUUAUCUAACAUCAGAUGGAUGAUAGGACAUUCAUGACUAAUUUGCCAGAAAUGUGUUCAGUAGGUCAAAAAAGGCCUCAUGUAUAUGGCUAAAGUAACAUCAGAGUGAGGCAAUGAGCAUGUAUAGAAAGUUCAAGAUUGAGGACUCUUGGGACAAAUUUUUUUGAAGUAGGUUUUAUAUGGACAUCUGUAUGGCUGAAAAAAAAUCAGAAGGAGUCAAUGAGCGUUUAUAGAAUGUUCUAGAUUGAGGACUAAUUUGCCAGAAAUAUAUUCAGUAAGUCUAAUAUGUAUUUCUGUAUGGGUGAAGUAACAUCAGAAGCAGUCAAUGGUAAAGUAGGAAAGGUUCAAUAUUGAGUACUCUUUGGCCAUAUAUAUGACCUUUAGGUCAAAUAUUCAAUAUGCUAUGGCUGACGUAUCAUCAGAAGCAGUCAAUGAGUAUGUAUAGAAAGUUCAUGAUUGAGGACUAAUAUCCUUAGAAAUAUGUCCAUUAGGUCAAAUAUGCAAUACUCUAUGGCUGAAGCAACAUAGAGAGAGGCAUGUUAUAUAAAGUUCAUGAUCAAGUACUCUUUGACAAGAAAUUUGUUCAGUAGGUCAAAUAUGGACCACUAUCUGGCUGACGUAAUAUCAGAUAAAGUCAAUGAGUGUGUAUAGAAAGUUCAUGAUCGAAGAGUAAUUUGCCAGAAAUAUUUUCAGUAGGUCAGACUCAUGUAUGGCUGAAGUAACAUCAGAGUGAGGCAAAGAGCAAGUAAUAUACAAAACUCAUGAUCGAGGACUCUGGGGACAAUUUUUUUUUUUUUUAAGUAGGUCCAAUAUCGAUUUCUGUAUGGCUGAAAUAAAAUCAGUAGUCCGUGAGUUUGUAUAGAAAGUUCAAGAUCAAGUACUCUUGGGCCAGAAAUAUGUUCAGUAGGUCAAAUAUAGACUUCUAUAUGGCUGAACUGACAUCAGAAGUCGUCAUUGAGUAUAUAUAUAUAUAUA